rnacentral:rRNA from 1 species
GCUCGUAGUUGGAUCUGAGUGUUCAGCGCUUGGUGCAGUUCUGCUGUUACUGAGUGCGGCACAUAAUCGCCAAUUGGUUGCCAUCGUUGCCUUAACUGGUGAUGGUGGUUGACUGUUGGCAUGUUUACUUUGAACAAAUCAGAGUGCUCAAUACGGGCGUUUCGCUUGUAUGGUCGUGCAUGGAAUAAUAGAAUAGGACCUUGGUUCUAUUUUGUUGGUUUUCGGAAUCGAGGUAAUGACUAAGAGGGACAGACGGGGGCAUUCGUAUUGCGACGUUAGAGGUGAAAUUCUUGGAUCGUCGCAAGACGAACUACUGCGAAAGCAUUUGCCAAGAAUGUUUUCAUUAAUCAAGGACGAUAGUUAGAGGUUCGAAGGCGAUCAGAUACCGCCCUAGUUCUAACCGUAAACGAUGUCAACCAGCGAUCCGCAGGAGUUAUUCAUGACUCUGCGGGCAGCUUCCGGGAAACCAAAGUUUUUGGAUUCCGGGGGGAGUAUGGUUGCAAAGCUGCAACUUAAAGGAAUUGACGGAAGGGCACCACCAGGAGUGGAGCCUGCGGCUUAAUUUGACUCAACGCGGGGAAACUCACCCGGCCCGGACACCGUAAGGAUUGACAGAUUGAGAGCUCUUUCUUGAUUCGGUGGGUGGUGGUGCAUGGCCGUUCUUAGUUGGUGGAGCGAUUUGUCUGGUUAAUUCCGAUAACGAACGAGACUCUAGCCUACUAAAUAGAAGGCAAAUUAUUCGUUUGCUGUACUU